CGAUAGAUUGUAAAUCUAUAAACAAGUUUAAACUU
rnacentral:tRNA from 1 species